rnacentral:rRNA from 1 species
AACGCGAAGAACCUUACCUGGGCUAGAAUGCGCGAGAAGAACCUGCAAAACAGGUUCGUCUGGGGUAAACUCAGACUCAAAGCAAGGUGCUGCAUGGCUGUCGUCAGCUCGUGUCGUGAGAUGUUGGGUUAAGUCCCGCAACGAGCGCAACCCUUACCGCUAGUUGCUACAGUUCGGCUGAGCACUCUAGUGGAACCGCUGGUGAUAAACUGGAGGAAGGUGGGGACGACGUCAAGUCAUCAUGGCCUUUAUGUCCAGGGCUACACACGUGCUACAAUGGUCGGCACAGAGGGUUGCAAACCCGCGAGGGGAAGCCAAUCUCAAAAAACCGACCUCAGUUCGGAUUGCAGUCUGCAACUCGACUGCAUGAAGUUGGAAUCGCUAGUAAUCGCGGAUCAGCACGCCGCGGUGAAUACGUUCCCGGGCCUUGUACACACCGCGAGC